rnacentral:lncRNA from 1 species
GCUGCUGGGAACCGGCCGGGGUGCCGGGUCGAAAGACAGACGCGCGGGCCGGGCGUGCGCGGGCUUGGUGGAGGGCGGGAAGGCUGAAGGGCGGUGACAGGUCGCACUGCCUCGCGAGGGCCAGAACGCCCAUUUCUGCAGAGGCAGAAGGUGAGGCGUCUACGCCCUCUCUCACCAGAUUUUGGGCGGCCCUGUGGAGACACCCUGUGCCCUUUAAGGGACAUGGAUUGAGUCGGGAUCUCAAAAUCUGCCUUAAUCCAUGUUCCCUUCGGGAUGCUGGUAUCCAACUGAGAAGUUGACGGAGCAUCUAUCGUGUGCCAGACACUGUGCUAAGUGCUAACGAGAAAUCGGUGAGCAAAACAGAAAAGAAAAAAAAAGAAGAAACGACUGCCAGCAUUGAACUUAGUACCUAGCAAAGUAGGUGGACAUAAAUCAAAUUGUCAGACAAGUAAAUGAGUAGUUGCAGCUGUGAUAAGGGGUAUGAAGAAUAGGCGCUUCCAUGAUGGCGGAACAUGACCUAGUCUGGGGUGGAGAAGGGGAGAUGAUUCCAGCUGGAAUAUGGCAGGUGAGAGUUAACUAAUAGCACUGAGUUGGCAGAGGCAGGAUGACCUGCCCCAGGCAGGUGCCCCAGAAUGAGAGGAUGUUGCUGCUGGUGGAACUCCAGCUUUAAAGCGGUGGAUCUAGGGCCACAUUCCUCAAGGCCAUAGCAAACAGGAAAGACCUUUUGGACUAGGGUCUUUGGAGUAGUCACAUGAGGCCAAGAACCCAAUAGGGCUGAAAGAGAAUCUCAUCAUAGGCUGAAUGGGAGCAGAGCAUUAGCUGCAACUCCAAUGUAUUAUAGUAAAAGGGGACACAUUGAUUAGAAUGAUUAUACCCCUCCAAGUGUAAGCUGUUGUUCAAUUUACCCAGGGCUUAAAAAUAUGUCAACUCUUCACAACCAUUUUUACUACAAGCCACACUCAACCUGUGUUGUUCCCUGAACCUGUGAUGCACUUUCAUCCGUUCAUGUCUCUACACAUCCUUCCUGGGCCCCAUAGAGGCCCUGCACCUUAAGGUUUUCAGCUGGAUUCCUAUUAGCUAGUUAUUUUAUCUCAGGUACAGAGAGUUAACUUUGCUCCUCAAUUUUCAGCACAUUGUCAUAUCAGUCCCUACAGGGUCCUUGUUUACAUUAUUUUAUAGUGUUUAUAUUAUUUUUUCCUCAUCUUUCUCGAUCCCCACUCUCAUUCUUCUAGACACAAGCUGCAAUAUGUUCGAUAGAGAUCCUUGAUAAUUUAACACAGAUAAUGUUUUGUUUAUGCCUCUUGCAUUUACAGAGAUGGUAUUGGACUGUAAAUCUCUAUUUCCCACUGUUUUACUCAACAGUCUGUUUUUGAGCUAUACCCACAUUGCUGUGUGUACACCUAGUUUGCUACCGAGUAUGCCAGAAAUUUUAUUCAUACAUAUCCCUACUGAUCGGGCAUCUAGGUUACUGCCAACUCCCUGAAGUCAUACUGUGGUGAAAACCCUUGUGAAUGUCUUUACAAACCUUUGCCAGAACUUAUUUUGUGCUCUUGUAGAACUUUGUGCAUACCCUCUGCUUCCUCAUUACACUGCUUGGCAUAUAGCAGAGACUCAACAAAUGUUGAAUACCUCUACUAUGAUGGUUAGUGUACUAGAAUAAUUUAUUUAUAUUUCUGUUUUCCUUAUUGGAUUAUUAGUACCUUCCAGACAGGGCAAAUGUCUUUUCUAUCUUUGUGUCCCUGGCACAUUAAAAGUGGUUGAUUUCAAGGUAUGUUCAAUGAAUGAAUAAAUACUUAUCUUCACUGCCAGUAC